UACGUAGGGUGCGAGCGUUGUCCGGAAUUAUUGGGCGUAAAGAGCUUGUAGGCGGUUUGUCGCGUCUGCCGUGAAAAUUCGAGGCUCAACCUCGAACUUGCGGUGGGUACGGGCAGACUAGAGUGUGGUAGGGGAGACUGGAAUUCCUGGUGUAGCGGUGAAAUGCGCAGAUAUCAGGAGGAACACCGAUGGCGAAGGCAGCUUGCUGGGACGGUACUGACGCUGAGGCGCGAAAGCGUGGGGAGCAAACAGG
rnacentral:rRNA from 1 species